rnacentral:lncRNA from 1 species
CCCUGACCAAUCACUUUCCCUGACUUGUUUUCCUGAAAAUCACAAUUAUUUUUGUCAAAAGAGAUGUUCAAAUUUGCAUCUGAGGUUAAUUUACUCACUGAUAUUAAAUUAACCUUAAAUUGGGGUAUAAAAAGAACAUCUUUUAGAACAAUAUUUUCUGAUAUUGUGAUUUUUCCAAUUGAUUUUACUUUGCAAAUUUCACCACUAGGGAUGGUGACAAAGUGUUGAUGCUCUCCACUAGGAGGUUUAUCAAAAAAAUGCAAAUUCCCAGUCAUAUGUUGGGAAGCACC